GCUCUCUGUGCGUUGUUCCAUUCUGGAUCCCUCUGGAGGACUGUGGCUCGGACAGACGACCAUCCAUGGGAAACGAAAUGGCUGACAAGGGGUCUGGAGUAAGUAGUGACGAAAGGGAGGAGCUCUCCCGUCUCCGUCGGCCGUGUCUCCAAGAAGGUUUUGAGGGCCUCCCUUCUGAAGGAGCGUGCAUAACCCCUGGCGGCUAACGCUCUGAAGAGUGUUUUUGUGGCCAUCAUGAAAUCGCUCUGGUGGUGGUAUCCAGAAAGUCGACAGACGUGGUGCUGGUGGUGGAUUUCAGCUUGAUGGACGGGUUGUGAUUAUUCAAGGAUGCCAGGGCAGAUGUCUCCCACUCGGCCAUGAAGAUGUUUGCGUAUGCCGGUGCAAAUUUCUUUCCCAUGGCAGUGCCUUUAAUUUGUAGAUAGAAAUGAUUGUCGAAUUCAAAAUCAUUUCUUCUGAGAUUAAUUUCUAGUAACUGUAAAAUUUCUUUGUCUGGCCUAUUCUUGUCUGGAUAUUUAAUAAAAAUGUUUUUUAUAGCUUGAAUGCCUUCGUCUAUGUCAAUAUUAGUAUACAGACUGUCUAUAUCUAAUGUAAACAGAAUGCAAUCUGAGGGGACAUGAAGUUUUUUGACUGUGUCUACAAAGUGAUAGGUGUCUUUAAGGUAUCCAACAUGUUUGUUGGAUAAGGGAUUAAUGUAGUGGUCGAUAAAUUGGGCUGUAUAAUAUGUCUCACUAUCACAAUCCGACACUAUGGGCCUCCCGGGCGGAAUCUCAAAAGGAACACUCCAUUUUGAGGGCUCCUU